UCUGGUGACGAUGGCACGGUGGACACACCUGUACCCAUCCCGAACACAGAAGUUAAGCACCGUAACGGCGAAGGUAUCCUCAAGGGGAGAAUAGCAAGUUGCCGGGC
rnacentral:rRNA from 1 species